AGCAAAAUCAGCUAAAUAAGCUUUCGGGCCCAUACCCCGAACAUGUUGGUUAAAAUCCCUCUUCUGCUA
rnacentral:tRNA from 1 species